GAUGGGGCGAGGACGCGCGUCCCAGGAAAAAAUGAGGGUCUCACUUUGUUGCUCAGGCUGAUCUCGAGCUCCUGGCCUCAAGUGAUCCUCCCGCUUUUGGCCUCCCAAACUGAUGGGAUUACAACGUGGAGCCACCGUGUUAAACUCUUAGAUUUGACUGCUACAAAGGUAUAAAUGUGGAACUCCAUAUAUCAGUGGGUUCUGCCCCACUUCUUCCUCCCAGGAAUUCUCCAUCCCAGCCUGCUGCUCCUGUCUUGCACCGGGGAACAAACAUGUAUCCUGGAUGAAAAUAAACCAAGUCUAUUGAAACUGCAACCCAAGACAUUCAGAAGAGACAAGGCUACAGUGAAUCUGGAAACUUUGCACGUGUUUGGAUGUAUUGAUUGCCUUAACUGGCAGCCCUUUGCACUGCCAGCUUCCCUCAAUUACAUGAGGAACCACGAGGGGGCAAUGUCUUCCCGAGCAAUAAUAGCUGAGUGGUGGUCUUAGGACCCCGUGGUGGCCCAUGAUGCUAGCACCGUGUCUUUGGCCAUUCUUGCCUGUCAUGGAGCAUACUCCACAGAAGGGCAUGGUCUUCUUGGAGCCUGGCAUGGGCCCAACAAAAAUGACAAUGUAGUCAAUAGUUCCACUCAGACCUCACUUAGGAGCAGGUGGACUAUGUUGUGUGAUAUCAGGAUGCCCGGAGAACCUCUCCUAUCCCCACCCAGGGAAGCAUGGCUUAAUUCCAAAUAAAGAAUCUGAUUUCUUUGUCUUUAA
rnacentral:antisense_RNA from 1 species